rnacentral:rRNA from 1 species
AGGACGAACGCUGGCGGUGCGCCUAACACAUGCAAGUCGAACGGUGAACCGGGCUUCGGCCCGGGGAUCAGUGGCGAACGGGUGCGUAACACGUGGGCAACCUGCCCCCGACCCUGGGAUAACCCCCGGGAAACCGGAGCUAAUACCGGAUACUCUCCUCCGACCACAUGGUCAGAAGAGGAAAGGUCCGCCGGUCGGGGAUGGGCCCGCGGCCUAUCAGCUUGUUGGUGGGGUAACGGCCUACCGAAGGCGACGACGGGUAGCUGGUCUGAGAGGACGACCAGCCACACUGGGACUGAGACACGGCCCAGACUCCUACGGGAGGCAGCAGUGGGGAAUCGUUGCGCAAGUGGGCGAAGCCUGACGCAGCGACACCGCGGUGGGGAUGGAAGGUCCUUUCGACGGUUCCGUAAACCCCGUUUCGGACG